rnacentral:rRNA from 1 species
GACGUAGGGCGCGAGCGUUGUCCGGAUUUAUUGGGCGUAAAGAGCUCGUAGGCGGCUUGUCGCGUCGACUGUGAAAACCCGUGGCUCAACCAUGUGGUCUGCAGUCGAUACGGGCAGGCUAGAAUUCGGUAGGGGAGACUGGAAUUCCUGGUGUAGCGGUGAAAUGCGCAGAUAUCAGGAGGAACACCGGUGGCGAAGGCGGAUCUCUGGGCCAUUACUGACGCUGAGGAGCGAAAGCGUGGGGAGCGAACAGG